AUGUGCAAUGCUCAAGUUUCUUUGUUACCAGGUUGGAUAUGGCUGCAUCUGGCACGGGUGGGCAAACCGCUUCCACUUCCAGUGCAUACAGUCUAUACUACCAAGCAUGCCCGAAAAGCCCCUAUUGGCAUUGAUCGCCAACAACCUCUCAAAUGGACAGUUCUCCCACUUCUACUGGAACGCCGUGUUGAUUUGAUUGUGGUGGUUGCACGCCUCUGCAGGUGGAUUCAUAGGAUUCGCAAUGGACAGAUAACGGUUGAUGGCCAAGUUGUCACUGAUCCAGAUAUGAUUCUCAGGGAGGGUUCUAAGUUGGUAUAUCAUCGCCUCGCAUGGAAGGAGCCAUUUGCACCAACAUUUGUCGCCCUUAACAAGCCUUCCGGUUUGCAAGUUCUGCCAAAAGGAAUCUUCCAGCAGCACACUGUUCUAGCACAGCUUCAGUGGAAAGAGUGGAAGAUGCCCCCAUCAAGCUGCUCUAAGAGAAAAAAUGUGCAGUUACAUCCUGUACCUGUUCAUCGAUUAGGAAGGGGCACGUCAGGUCUACUGCUUUGUGCCAAGACAAAGCUUGCCAAAGUUCAACUUGCAUCUUAUUUUGCAGAAGGUGCUGCAAAUGCAGAGAAGAAAAGGGAUGAAACUGAGGUUGGCAAAGAACGGAAAAUUUCAAAAUUCUAUCGAGCAUUAGUAACUGGUAUACUUGAACACGAUGAGGAUGUGGUUACUCAACCCAUAGGAUUGGUUCAUUACCCUGGAGUUGCAGAGGGACUUUAUGUGGCAUGUUCCUCAGGGAAGCCAGCCAUGAGCAAAGUGUGUGUUCUUGAGAGACUUGCGCACCAAAAUCAAACGCUGGUCCAGGUUGAAAUUCAUUCAGGACGGCCUCACCAAAUGCGAAUACACCUUGCAUACAUUGGAUACCCUCUUGUUGAUGAUCCUCUCUAUUGUAUUGGUGGGCAGCCUAAAUUUCAUGACCUGGAGUCUACUAGUACGGAUAUUUCUUUUGCAUAUGACGGAGGUUAUGAGAGGCCUUUACAGCCUGUUCCCGGAGACUGUGGGUAUCACUUGCAUGCUCAUUGGCUGGUCCUUUCUCAUCCAACCACGAAUAAGAUGCUGAAGAUAACCGCCCCUCUGCCGCAUAUCCUACAAACUCGAGAGGAGCGUUGCGAUCCACAAGUUGAUACUUGA
rnacentral:rRNA from 1 species